AUGAGACAAUCUUAAAGGUCCCUGCUGUCACUGCCAGCCCAAACCAUUUUAUGGUGAUUCUGUAAUUUUAGAAGAUUUUACUGCUGUCUGAAACCAGGUCACCAUCACCCUCCUCUCACAUCACCUGAUCCAGUCAGCCUGAAAUCUGCUCUUUGUGCAUCAUCUCCCAAAGCUGGCUGAACUCUCUUCUCAGGGGUUAAAAACCUGCCAGAGACCUUCAGGAACAGCAGACACGAGCUCUCCACCCCCAGAGGCAGCACCCAGGUACAAAGGUUGAUCUUAACAGCAUAAAUCCAGGAUAUGAGGGAUGGCAUCUCUGCUGGCUUCAGAGAGGACAGAGAAACCUGCAAAGAAAGCCUUACAUACCACCUGGCAGAAGAAAUUAAAGCUUUUUAUGUUUUAGGCAUUCAAAUAAACUUAUAAUGGCAAAACUCA